CUGGCUCAGAUUGAACGCUGGCGGCGUGCUUAACACAUGCAAGUCGCGCGUGAAAGGACUUCGGUCCGAGUAAAGCGGCGCACGGGUGAGUAACGCGUGGAUGAUCUACCCAUGAGUUAGGAAUAACGGCUGGAAACGGUCGCUAAUACCAAAUACGCUCCGAUUUCAACUUCGGGGGAAAGGUGGCCUCUGCUUGCAAGCUACUGCUCAUGGAUGAGUCCGCGUCCCAUUAGCUAGUUGGUGGGGUAACGGCCCACCAAGGCGACGAUGGGUAGCCGGUCUGAGAGGAUGACCGGCCACACUGGGACUGGAACACGGCCCAGACUCCUACGGGAGGCAGCAGUGGGGAAUAUUGCGCAAUGGGCGAAGCCUGACGCAGCGACGCCGCGUGAGGGAUGAAAGGUCCUCGGAUCGUAAACCUCUGUCAGGAGGGAAGAACCGCCACGGUGCUAAUCAGCCGUGGUCUGACGGUACCUCCAAAGGAAGCACCGGCUAACUCCGUGCCAGCAGCAGC
rnacentral:rRNA from 1 species